GUUCAAGUGCGAAAAGUUUUCAAAACAAAAUGUCUUUUAGAUUUAAUAAUCGCUUGUCUUCAGGAAAGUUUGGGACAAUUUCGGCCAGAAAUAUUUGUAAUACAGCUAGGAUUCGGAAAGGAUACUAUAAAUGGAGUCAAAAGCGUCCUUUGGUGGAAAAAAACACAGUGGAAAGCGAUAUUCCCGUAAAACGCGUUACAAGAUGGGCGACGGUACGUGCUUCAGCGAUAGAAAUUAUAACUAUUAAAUUUUGGUCAAUGCAAUAACUAUAAUAAACUUAUUUUUCAAAAAAAUAGGAGCAUCAAGAACUCCAAGAAAAUAGGCCACACGGUUCACGCGUUUUUGACGUUGAUAUUUUAUACGAAGAGUUAAAAACAUGCAAAUUUUGCACUAAAGGUAAAUAUACCAAAGCUUUUCGCACUCUUACAUUUUAUUGCUACACAAAUUUGUUAUUAAAUAUUUUAUAAGCAAAUAAACAGAAAUGACUUAUUAUAAUAUACACAAUUGUAUUGUGAUAAAAAGAAAAUACAACCACAUUACACAACAUAAUAACAUUACAC